rnacentral:rRNA from 1 species
UCCCUUCGGGGCAGAGGAGACAGGUGGUGCAUGGUUGUCGUCAGCUCGUGUCGUGAGAUGUUGGGUUAAGUCCCGCAACGAGCGCAACCCUUGUCAUUAGUUGCCAGCAGUUCGGCUGGGCACUCUAGUGAGACUGCCGGGGAUAACUCGGAGGAAGGUGGGGAUGACGUCAAAUCAUCAUGCCCCUUAUGUUCUGGGCUACACACGUGCUACAAUGGCUGGUACAAAGAGAAGCAAGACGCGAGGUGGAGCAAAUCUCAAAACCAGUCCCAGUUCGGAUUGUAGGCUGCAACUCGCCUACAUGAAGUUGGAGUUGCUAGUAAUCGCGAAUCAGAAUGUCGCGGUGAAUGCGUUCCCGGGUCUUGUACACACCGCCCGUCACACCAUGGAAGUUGGGGCGCCCGA